rnacentral:rRNA from 1 species
GACGAACGCUGGCGGCGUGCUUAACACAUGCAAGUCGAACGGAAAGGCCCUGCUUUUGUGGGGUGCUCGAGUGGCGAACGGGUGAGUAACACGUGAGUAACCUGCCCUUGACUUUGGGAUAACUUCAGGAAACUGGGGCUAAUACCGGAUAGGAGCUCCUGCUGCAUGGUGGGGGUUGGAAAGUUUCGGCGGUUGGGGAUGGAUUCGCGGCUUAUCAGCUUGUUGGUGGGGUAGUGGCUUACCAAGGCUUUGACGGGUAGCCGGCCUGAGAGGGUGACCGGCCACAUGGGGACUGAGAUACGGCCCAGACUCCUACGGGAGGCAGCAGUGGGGAAUAUUGCACAAUGGGCGGAAGCCUGAUGCAGCAACGCCGCGUGCGGGAUGACGGCCUUCGGGUUGUAAACCGCUUUCGCCUGUGACGAAGCGUGAGUGACGGUAAUGGGUAAAGAAGCACCGGCUAACUACGUG